CCUACGGGAGGCAGCAGUGGGGAAUAUUGGACAAUGGGCGGAAGCCUGAUCCAGCCAUGCCGCGUGUGUGAAGAAGGCCUUUUGGUUGUAAAGCACUUUAAGCGAGGAGGAGGCUACUAGUACUAAUACUACUGGAUAGUGGACGUUACUCGCAGAAUAAGCACCGGCUAACUCUGUGCCAGCAGCCGCGGUAAUACAGAGGGUGCGAGCGUUAAUCGGAUUUACUGGGCGUAAAGCGUGCGUAGGCGGCUUUUUAAGUCGGAUGUGAAAUCCCCGAGCUUAACUUGGGAAUUGCAUUCGAUACUGGGAAGCUAGAGUAUGGGAGAGGAUGGUAGAAUUCCAGGUGUAGCGGUGAAAUGCGUAGAGAUCUGGAGGAAUACCGAUGGCGAAGGCAGCCAUCUGGCCUAAUACUGACGCUGAGGUACGAAAGCAUGGGGAGCAAACAGGAUUAGAUACCCUGGUAGUCCAUGCCGUAAACGAUGUCUACUAGCCGUUGGGGCCUUUGAGGCUUUAGUGGCGCAGCUAACGCGAUAAGUAGACCGCCUGGGGAUACGGUCGCAAGACUAAAACGUCGAAAGGAUUGACGG
rnacentral:rRNA from 1 species